GUUCCCUCUCCUUUUGGCUAAGAUAAAGUAUGGUAUCUGUUCUUAUCAGUUUAAUAUUUGAUACAUCCUCUGUCCAGAAACCGUCUUUUUGAAAGCAGAAGGACUUCGCCUCUGUCAGGCUUCCUAUGGCCUUCUGUGCUGAUGUGGGGCCCGGCACUUGUGCUCAUCCCUGGAGGCUCCCCCC